CACACGACUCUCGGCAACGGAUAUCUCGGCUCUCGCAUCGAUGAAGAACGUAGCGAAAUGCGAUACCUGGUGUGAAUUGCAGAAUCCCGCGAACCAUCGAGUCUUUGAACGCAAGUUGCGCCCGAGGCCUUUCGGCUGAGGGCACGCCUGCCUGGGCGUCACGC
rnacentral:rRNA from 1 species